CCUCCUCCUCCACGAUCUCAACCCCCAAGUCUUUCAGGAAGUCAGUCGUUUACAUAUUGGAUUGAAUUGUGUAAGGACUCUUCAAGUUGAUCCUCUGGCAGAUUCUGCAAAAGCUCUCUCAUCUGAAUGUAACUUUGACAUACAGGCAUUUCGCUUUACGGCAGACAAGGAGUAAUUAAGAGAACCACGAGUUGUCAGAGUUGGGCUUAUUCAAAACUCUAUAGUUCUUCCCACAACUGCUUCCUUUCUGGAU